rnacentral:rRNA from 1 species
GAUGAACGCUGGCGGCGUGCCUAAUACAUGCAAGUCGAGCGAACAGACGAGGAGCUUGCUCCUUUGACGUUAGCGGCGGACGGGUGAGUAACACGUGGGUAACCUACCUAUAAGACUGGGAUAACUUCGGGAAACCGGAGCUAAUACCGGAUAAUAUUUCGAACCGCAUGGUUCGAUAGUGAAAGAUGGCUUUGCUAUCACUUAUAGAUGGACCUGCGCCGUAUUAGCUAGUUGGUAAGGUAACGGCUUACCAAGGCAACGAUACGUAGCCGACCUGAGAGGGUGAUCGGCCACACUGGAACUGAGACACGGUCCAGACUCCUACGGGAGGCAGCAGUAGGGAAUCUUCCGCAAUGGGCGAAAGCCUGACGGAGCAACGCCGCGUGAGUGAUGAAGGUCUUCGGAUCGUAAAACUCUGUUAUUAGGGAAGAACAAACGUGUAAGUAACUGUACACGUCUUGACGGUACCUAAUCAGAAAGCCACGGCUAACUACGUG